UGCCAGCAGCCGCGGUAAUACGGAGGGGGUUAGCGUUGUUCGGAAUUACUGGGCGUAAAGCGCGCGUAGGCGGACUAUUAAGUCGAGGGUGAAAUCCCAGGGCUCAACCCUGGAACUGCCUUUGAUACUGCUAGUCUUGAGUUCGAGAGAGGUAAGUGGAAUUCCGAGUGUAGAGGUGAAAUUCGUAGAUAUUCGGAGGAACACCAGUGGCGAAGGCGACUUACUGGCUCGAUACUGACGCUGAGGUGCGCAAGUGUGGGGCGCAAACAGGAUUAGAUA
rnacentral:rRNA from 1 species